ensembl:lncRNA
CUUACCACCUCCCAGCUGUGUCAGACUAGGUAGGGCUUGUGUGAUCAUUUGGAUCAGGAGUUGAUCUGGCUAAAACCUAAUUCUGCAAAUGAGUAAGUGAGAAAGAUUUAUAUUUAACUCAGUUCACUUAUCUAAUCAAGUUCUCUGCAAAGCCCUACAAACUGUUGUACUGGCAAAAUGAGGGAAUGAUGGAGGAAUGGAAAUGAGUAACCUGAGUUAUAGCUACUCAGAUCACUCAAAUGGGAUCAUUUCUGUUUGCUGUUUGAAUGGGCAUGUGAACACCGCUGGCAAGAACUCUUGCAUGUGCAGAUGCAAAAUAUAUUCCUGUGCUCUAAGGGCAGAUAAGAUGACCUAGGGAACUAGCGACCUGUCAGCCUCAUCUCUGUGCCGGACAAGAUCAUGGAAAAGAUCUCCCCAGGAGCUAGGCUAAGGCACAUGGAAGAGAGAGAGGUGAUGCAAGACAACCAGCAUGGUUUCACCAUGAACAACCUAGUGGCCUUCUAUGAUGAUGUAAAUGCAUCAGUGGACAAGGGAAAAUAACUUGAUGUCAUCUAUCCAGAAUUCAGUUAAGUCUUUGAUACAGUCCCCCAAAAUUCCCUUCUCUCCAAAUUGUAGAGAUGUGGACUUGAUAGAUAGCCUGUUCAAUGGAUGAGAAACUGGUUGCAAGACUGCACCCAGAGAGUGGUUGUCAAUAGCUCAAUGUUCAGAUGGAGAUAAGUGAUGAGUGGCGUCUCUCAGGAGUCAGUACUGGGACCAAUGCUGUUUAACGUUGUAUGGCAAACAGGUAGUAGACCACAGAGAUUAUUGCAUCACAAAGUAAAAAUGAAAUAAAGAUCUUACCCAUUUCCUGGGCUCACAGAAGAGCUCCAAGAGGAGCAAUCUCCAGAUAGAGAUCCUUCCUCCUUGGGAGUCAGCCCUUAAAUGGGGUCUAGGAGAGGUGGAGCAGGCUCCACCCCUUCCAGUCACUCAGGUGAAAUUGCGUUCACCUGUGCCCCUGCAGAUGACUCAGCGCUUGUCUCAGGUGGUCAAUCAGAGGUUCAGGCUAGGAUUCAACAGUUCCCGUACAAAUAUCUUCAUCAGUGAUGUCAACAGUGGGAUUGAGUGCACCCUCAGCAAGUCUGUAGAUGACACAAAGCUGUAUGGUACAACUUAUAUGUCCAAGGAAUAAGAUGCCAUCCAAAGAGAUCUAGAUAGGAUAAAGCAGUGGGCCCAGGAGAACCUCAUGAGGUUCAAUAAAUUCAAGUGCAAGGUCUUGUCCUGCAUCACAGCAACCAUUUGUAUAAUAAUCACAUGGGGAAUGAAAGGAUACAGCACAGCCUUGCCAUAAAGGACUUGGAGGUACUGGUGAAUAUGAACCAGCAAUGUGCCUUCACAGCCCAGAAAGCCAACUGUAUUCUGGGCCACAUCAAAAGAAAUGUGGCCAGCAGGGCAAGGGAGGUGAUCCUGCCCCUCUACUCUGCACCAAGGAGACUUCAUGAGGAGUGCUGUGUUCAGACGUAGAGUCGUCUGUACAGGAGAGACAUGGACCUGUUAGAAUGAGUCCAGAGGAGGGCCACAAAAUGAACCAAGGGAUGGAACACCUCCCAUACAAGGACAGGAUGAGAGAGCUGGGGCUGUUCAGCCUGGGGAGAGGAAAGCUUUGGGAAGACCUGACAGCUGCCUUUUAGUAUCUAAACGAGGGCUAUAAGAAAGAAAAGGGACAAACUGUUUUUCAGGAUCUGCUAUGAUAGGAUAGGGGCAAAUGGCUUCAGACUAAAAGAGGAGAUACUUAUGUUGGGUAUAAGGAAGACAUUUUUUUCUGAUAACAGUGGUGAGGCACUGGACUGGGUUGCCCAGAGGGGUAGUGAAUGCACUGUUCUUAGGGACAUUCAAGGUCAGGAUAGACCAGGCUCUGAGCAACCUGAUCUAGCUAUAGAUCCCCUUCAUUGCAAGGGAUGGGACUAGAUGACCUUUAAAGGUCCCUUCUAACUCAAAUGAUUCUAUAAUAUCCCAAGUUGGAAGAGACCCACAAGAAUCAGUGUGUUCAGCUCUUGAGUCUACCCAAGACUACUCAAAAAUUCUGAAAGUGUUGUCCAAAUGCUUUUUGAACCCUGUCAAGUUUGGUGCUGUGACCAUUGCUCUGAGGAGCCUGUUUCAGGGCCCAACCACCCACUCUGUAAAGAAACCCUGACAUAGCUCUAUCCCAUUCCCUCAGGUCCUGUCUCUGCCACCAGGAAGCAGAGAUCAGUGUUGCCCCUCCACUCUCCUCGUGAGGCAACUGUAGUCUUUUAUGAGGUCUCCUCUCAGUAUUCUGUUCCAAUAUUUUGGAAAUAUAUGUGUUGUUUUUUUUUUUCUUCCUGUAAUGCUAAAUUACCACAACAUUUUACAUUGUUGAUGUAAUUCUGGCAUAUAAGAGAGAAACUGAUGUCUUUCUUUUAAAAAUACUUUUAAAACAAACUGAAUUUAAGUUGAAAAAAAAAUAUUAUACGAUUGCAUCAAUUCAAAGCUCCUUCUUACUUGCAGGAUCUUCAUUUAUUUAAUGCAACUUUAGAUGUAUAAUGCUGAUUAAUGUAGUUGUUCUUUACUGACUAAAUGAUCUCCACUGAACUGCAAAGUUCAUAAAGGAAGAUGAUUAAUUCAUAACUGUAUUGUUUAUGCUGUCUUUUCUAAAGAAAGCAUUCCAAUUAUCAUUUAAAUAAUAGUACUUGGUUCUAAAAUUGACCAAAUAUGCAAAUAUUCUACUUCUGUUCUAACUGAGCCAUUAUGUUCCAAAGAAGAUCAAAAAACGAUGGGCCAGUCAUGUGCCGAUUUAUAGUUGUGUGAUGCAUAAGGUAGUCUUGCAUAAGGAAAAUAACUUUGAAUUUACACCAGAUAAUCAGAUGCGAGCCAUUGUAAUGAAUAUCUCUGGGAAACUUUGACAUGUUAUCUUUGAAAAUAUGAUAUUCACUUACUGCUAGGAAGGAAUGACUUAAAUCACAAACUUGGGGCAUUAGUUUCCUUAGGCUGUUUCACUUUCAGGACAUAAAUCUAGAUUUGAAAGGACUGCCAGCUAUCUCAAUUUCCAUUAACAACUGGGGAGCUUCAGCAAUCUAGAUAUUCAUGCAGUACACUGCAGAUAAACCACUAAGUACAGAAAAUGUUCAUUCAUGCAGCACACAUAAAACUAAAACUCCACUCCUUAUGAGAAAAAUCAAAACACCCCAAAUUAAAGCAACAGCAACCCCACUCCCUUUUCCCCAGGCAAAGCUGCAAAGUCAGCAGUUCAACACUUUGUUUCCCUUCAGCUGUAUGGUCACAAAUUAAUGGGGUGGAGGCAUGAUAACUAUGAAGGAAUUUGGGAUGUUUUCAUUAUUGCUGGGCAAAUCACUCUUGAAAAGUAAGCAUCUCUUUUAUGCAUAGAUCAAGUGAACUUGGCAGCAGCAAUGUCAUUGAUGCUAACUGUGUGUGACAGGAAACAAAGCCAUGUGACUGCUGUGUUUUAUGAGGGCAAGGACUACAUUGGGAGUGAAAUUCUGCUACAGAAAUGGGUAAUGUAAAGGUUUUUCAGUGCUGGAGUGAGAAUGAGUAGAAAGGAACAGAGUGCGAAGAGAAGAAUAAGAUAAAAAUGGAAAGCAGAAAUCCUGAGCUGGCCCCACUGAACAACGUGUUCAAACAGCUCUCACACCAACCUCAACUGAGAGAGUGGAUUUUAAAUAAAUAAAUAAAUAAAUAAAACAUUCUUUUUUAUGCUUUACUAUUUGCCACACUUGAGCGCACCUCUAAAAAAAGAUAAGUAAAAUAUUAAAAAGAUGUUUUAAAAGAAUAUAUAAAACCAGUGGAAGAAAGACAGGUAACCUUUGAUAAAAGGAACUUGUGAGAAGACACAUGGGAAUGUAAGAAAAAGUUGAACACAGAUGCUACAGUGGUAAAAAGAUGGAGUAGGAAGCUCAGUAAGCAACUGGGAGAGAACAGAGCCACAAAAUACACCAGCAAGAAUUAGCUUACUGGUUCUGAUGCCAAGGUGAAGAGGACAAAACCAAAAGAAAGACGUCUAAACAAUGUAAGAAGACAGUUUUUAUGUAAUAGAUAUUUGGCUGUAUAUUCUUCGAUCAAACAUGUUUGAUUAAAGUUAAUUUUACUAGAGGCUACCUGUUUUGAAUUCUGUUUUCCACAGAAGGUAUUUUUUCUCAGAAAAUGACCUAUUUUGGAAACCAACCCUCAGAACACAGGAGUCUGCCUUUGUGGAAGUGUUCGUUGUCUUGUGGAGAAGAGGGAAAGUUGAGUGAGAAGCAACACACCUCUGUCUCCCCAGGCUAUUCUUGGCUCAUUCACUUCCCUGAGCAUUAAAUUCAUUCACAAAUUGGGAACUUAUCCCGCUGUUACUUUCUAGCACAUUUGAUAAAGUGAUGAAUCCUGAAUUAGUAUUGCAGUGUUGCUAAGUUUUGAUAAAUGUGCUUAUAAAUUCAUUGCUGCAGAAGAAAAGUCUCUUCUUUAAUCAGAAAUCCUGCUGCUGUCAAUGACAGAAAUAUAGCUUGAAACGAAACAUUCUGAAGAAAGCACCUUGUUAAGAUGUAAUUUUCUUCGUACAUGGCUUUAACAACAACCCAGCCCUAUUUGCAGAGCUAUGGCAUUAGGCUUUACACACCAAAAAUGCUUAGGCUUUUAGUAAACCUAGCAAAUAUUUUGCGGUGCGGCUGACACAUUAACAUGUGUAUUAGUGAGCAGUUGUCCAUAAGGAAUUUGUCAGACUGUCAACAAAGACUAAGACAGCCAGUCCAGUCCCUGCUAAGUGUAAAAACACCUGGAGAUCACAGCAAUCACUCAGAAGGGAAUUAAAGUAAUAGAUUAAUUGACCGUAAGAAUCAUUUUCCUUGUUCAUGAAUCUGGAUUUCCCUUGGCUGCCAGAAUUGUAGAUGAAAGAGAAAAACAUCCUUGACCUUUUCCGUCAAAGAAAAUGCUUCUCUCUUUGUCUAACACACAAAAAUGUGGACUAUUUGAGUGAUUUAAAAGGUCUGAGAAUUGCAAACAAACAAACAAAAAAAAAAGAGUGUCAAUAAAAUAGUAUUCAGCUUCUCAUUUAUUCUGCUGUGUCUUGACCCAUUAAGAGGUGUUAGUGAACAUUUCAAAAGUUGUCAGCUUGUACCCUUCUAGUCUACCACACUUCCUGACUUUAAAGCCUGUGAUGCAGCUCUAACAGUUAGUCUGUGAACGCAGUAUUAACACAUGAAAUAAGGCUGCAUGGAUCUUAAAAAACAGUA